rnacentral:rRNA from 1 species
AUUGAACGCUGGCGGCAGGCCUAACACAUGCAAGUCGAGCGGAAACGGAGGGAGCUUGCUCCCAGGCGUCGAGCGGCGGACGGGUGAGUAACACGUGAGAAUCUGCCCAUUAGUGGGGGACAACUCGGGGAAACUCGAGCUAAUACCGCAUAAUCUCUACGGGGGAAAGCAGGGGACCUUUUGGCCUUGCGCUGAUGGAUGAGCUCACUUCGGUUUAGCUUGUUGGUGAGGUAAAGGCUCACCAAGGCGACGAUCCGUAGCUGGUCUGAGAGGAUGAUCAGCCACACUGGGACUGAGACACGGCCCAGACUCCUACGGGAGGCAGCAGUGGGGAAUCUUGGACAAUGGGGGCAACCCUGAUCCAGCCAUGCCGCGUGUGUGAAGAAGGCCUUCGGGUUGUAAAGCACUUUCAGCAGGGAGGAAGGCUUUGGCCGAAUAGGUUGAAGUACUUGACGUUGCCUGCAGAAGAAGCACCGGCUAAUUUCGUGCCAGCCGCCGCAGUAA